GAAACCAAACCUGUGUCUGAGUGCGGAUAAAGAUAGCUAUCCAAGCUCCCAUUGACCAUGUAAGGAAGAACAAGAGCCUUAAAAUCAGUAUUUGAAGAAAUAAGGAGCAUUGAAGGCUAGCGUUCGAAGUUUCUACCUAGUACUUGUUUAUCGACUCACAAUUAACAUCGGCUUCUGAUGAGCAGUCACUCAUGUUAAGGGUCAAUACUCUUUCCCGCCUUCUGCAGAAAGAUCCUUGAAAGCUGAAACUGCACUCAACUUGAAGGCUGAACGUGAUGAAGAUGUUGAUGAAAAUGGUGAUUGCUGCAAUAGCACAUGAAAAUAAGCCUGUAGAGAAAUCUCCAACACUUGAGGGGUGAGUCCAAUGGUGUUUGUGGCUGCAAACAGGUACCAGCCAAGUCGAGGGAGGACUCUGUUUGCAGAGCUGCUGCUUAAUCUUCCAAGGAUAGCAUCCCUCCCAAAGUUUUCGUUUAGCUUGCCAGAAGAUUCUGAUAAUCAAGGUUAGAUAGUGAUGCUCGAUUAUUGCCAUCUUAUAAGAAGCAUGAAUAUUUUGAGAGUUCCAUCCUAUGGAGAAGAUGAUGCUGUUUGGUCUUGCGAGUGUCAGUGAGUGUUCCUCCAUGAUGAGCUGGCAUACUCGACACAGCUAUUUUCAUUUUGCUAAAUAUUGUUAGAUUAACAAAUGAAGCACACGAAUAUGCAAAAAUAUAUGAGAUUGAAACUUGUUACAAACAAAUAGAACUUGUUACAAAUAAAUGGAAUAUAUCUAAUAUACAACCAGUGCCAACAACCUAUGCUAUAUUAUAUAUAAGAUGUUUUUGCAUGAUUGCAAUUAAACUAUUUUCGAGUAUGCUACCAACAAAAAAAAAAAAAA